CUCGCACUAGUACCCCGCCUGCUGUUUACUAGCUGUGUGGCCUCGGGCCUCAGUUUCCUCACCAGUCAGACGGAAGGGCUCAGUUAGAUCACCUCCGAGACCUCCUCCAGCUCUGAGACGUGGCAGGGCAGGCUGUGAGACGGGGUGUGUGCGCUCAUCUGCAGAGUAGCCUCCGCCCCAGGGCUCGGUCCAGCUCAAGUGCUGGUUGAAUGGAUUGUAAGUAGAAGGUGUAGCAGCCCCAGUGGGGGAGAGCCAGCAGCGCUGGGGGAUGACAAGAGGCCUCCGUGGGGUAGAUGCUGACUUGCUAGACAAGCAAGCAACAGAGAAACCACGCGGAGACCGGUGGAGCCCUCACUGUUACGGACGUUGGUGGGAAAGAUAACGUCAGACAAACCUGAUCUUCGUUCCUGAUAGAAUUUUAAGGAAAGGAGACUAAGGAGCCAGAAGAAAUCGAGCUGUGCCCUUAAGACUGUGCCUGAGGGCUCCUUCGCACCCCUGCGAUGCUUCACACAGCUUCUGGGAUGUCCUCUGCUGGUCUUCAGUCACCACGUGAUUAAAGGAGAACGUGGCUCCCGGUCGCAUUCAUGGCUAUGGCAGCUCCUCAGAGGGGAGGAGCUGCUGGUCACACAGCACCGCCGACGCUGCCCGGCAUCCUAAGCUUCCACAUACAUGUCAGGCAUUUUUUUUACAAUCUCGAAAUGUUACCAGUGGAGGAGGUUUUAAAGAUUCUGUGGUCUAAUCCACUAAUUUCACAGAAGAGAAAACAGAGGCUUACUGAGAUUUAAAGGAUGUGCCUGGGGGGUAGCUAGCUGUCUGUGGCGGGGCCAGGACCAGAAUUCAGUUCUCUCUGUGCAGUUCGUUGUUUUUCUGGCUUUGUGUGUAAAGGAAAACAUAUAAAUCCUAGUAACUGCCUCUGUGUGG